AUUGAACGCUGGCGGAAUGCUUUACACAUGCAAGUCGAGCGGCAGCGCGGGGGCAACCCUGGCGGCGAGCGGCGAACGGGUGAGUAACAUAUCGGAACGUACCCCGUCGUGGGGGAUAACACAGCGAAAGCUGUGCUAAUACCGCAUACGACCUGAGGGUGAAAGCGGGGGAUCGCAAGACCUCGCGCGAUGGGAGCGGCCGAUAUCGGAUUAGCUUGUUGGUGAGGUAAAGGCUCACCAAGGCGACGAUCCGUAGCUGGUCUGAGAGGACGACCAGCCACACUGGAACUGAGACACGGUCCAGACUCCUACGGGAGGCAGCAGUGGGGAAUUUUGGACAAUGGGGGGCAACCCUGAUCCAGCCAUUCCGCGUGAGUGAAGAAGGCCUGGUGUAAGACGUCUUUCUAG
rnacentral:rRNA from 1 species